GAAAAGAAAAGAGAAAGAAAGAGAGAAAAGAAAAGGAAACUCCUCCCUCCUCCUACUGGCAUACCAUGCAGGAUUUCUGGAAGCACAAUGAUUUCAUUAUCCAGGUACUGAUCAGCAGAGGGCACUACUGCACCUCCCCAGCCCGAGAAGAGCAGAAGACCUCACAGACCAAAGGGGCUCGAAAAACACCGGCAUUCCUGAGGCCCGUAGGUUUGGACAAUCUUCUCUUCAUCCAGAGACCGGUGGGAUGACUCCUGAGAGUCUAGAAGCAUGGAGAGGCAGCCAGGGACCCAGAGCUAUUGUUUUCCUGGUGACAAACAAUGCAAUACAAUAUAUCAACAGCUUCUGACUCCCUCUCAGAUUCAGAGGACCUUCGAUGUGGCUGCACAACACUGUGACUAUCUGCUCACUGCCACUGGAUUGUAGCAUGGAGCUACCUCCAUUUCAACCACGGUUAAGGGCGCAGUGUGUUGCUGGUACUGGGCAUUGAACUCAGUGCCACUGAGCUACAUCCCCAGAUCCCCUCCUUUUUUUUGAGAGUAUCCGUAAGUUGCCCCAUUUGGCCCUGAAUUUUGCUCUUCCUACCUUAGUUCCCUCAUAGCUAGGAUACAUUGCCAUGCCUGCCUCAUGUAUGAUAAUAUUAGACAAGCCCAGGGAAGAAAAAAUGUUUUGAACCACCAGCUGUGGUGGUCCACACCUGUAAUCUCAGCACUUAGGAGCCUGAGGCAGGAGGAUCGCCAUGAGUUUGAGGCUGGCCAGCCUGGGCUACACAGCAAGUCCUUGUCUUAAAAAAAAGUUCAGAAUGACCUUGCCAUAUCUUGCCCUUUCUUUGUUUAGACAGUGCUGGCAAGUCCUACGUUUUCAUAAAAGCUUCUCAGAUAAUCAGAACUGCCUGUGUAAACAUCCAGUUAGUUGCUGACUCCCUCUGCCCUCUCUUCCCCUUACAGCUUUUUGCUUCUUUAUUAAUUCAAAGACAAAAGCUGAGCUGUCCACUUCCUUUGUGCUGGACAGAGUACGCUCCCCACAAAGAUCUGCUGCAGACCUUUCUGACCUACUCCUUUUUACUCAGCAUUUUCCUCAGUUACUAUAAAUACUUCCCUUUCCUGGGGCCAGCAAGUGUUUUUCUUUUUUUUUCUUUUGGUACAGGGGAUCGAACUGGGGACCUUGCGCUUGCAAGGCAGGCGCCGGAACCACUGAGCUAAAUCUCCGGCCCCAGCAAGUGUUUUUCAAAGCUUACUAUCUAGUAAGUAUUUCUGGCUUUGCUAGGCAUAGGGUCUCUGUGGACCUACUCUAUUGUAAGGAGAAAGUAGACAAUGUGUGAGUGAAUGAGCCUAACCGUGCUCCAGUAAACUUUAUGUACAAACGCAGGCCAGGGCAGGAUUCGUGCCACCGUGGUGACUUACGGGGGAAGAAACCUUUCUUCUUGCUUCCAUCUAACCUGGCCAACAGACCUUGGCCAUGGUCUUGUGCUCCUGCUUCUAGAUCUUGUCUGUAUCUCCAAAGAUGCUUACUGAUUUGGCAAGAAAACUAACAAAGGCGAGAAUAGUUAAAUGAGUUAUUUUUAUUUUUUUUUAGUAUCGAGGAUCAAACUUGCCAGGCAGGUGAGGUGCCACUGAGCUAUAUCCCUGGCACAAAUGAAUUUUUUUUUUUUGUACCAGGGAUCAAACCCGGGUCCUUGUGCUUGCCAGGCAGGAGCCAGAACCACUGAGCUAAAUACCCGGCCCACAAAUGAAUUAUUAUUUUUUGGGGGUACUGGGGAUUGAACUCGGGACCUUGUGCUUGCGAGGCAGGCAGCAGAACCACUGAGCUAAAUCCCCAGCCCCCUACAAAUGAAUUAUUUUUAAAACCAACAUUUUACAUCUUUAAUGGUUUUUGGUAGAUUCCUGUAUAAAUAUGAGGAAGCUUCUUCCACAUGAAUGAGGACACCAUGUUUGUGUAAAAUAUCUUAGAACAGACAAAAUUUGUCCCCAGCAAAUUUUUCUUUAAUUUUUUUUAUUUUUAUUUUUCGGUACCAGGGAUCGAACUUGGGACCCUGUGCUUGCGAGGCAGGCAGCUGCACCACUAGGCUAAAUCCCUGGCCUUUUUCUUUUUUUUAGACAAGGUCUUGCUCUGUAAUUCAGGCUGGCCUUGAACUCAUUAUGUAGCCCGGACUGGCCUUGAAUUUCAGAGCCUCCUGCCUCAGCCUCUCCAUUGCUGAGAUUAUAGGCAUGUAGCACCAUGCAUAGCUAGACUUUUUUGUUCUUAGUAUAUGUGCUGCCAAAGCGCGCACAAGACUUUUUUGUUCUUUUUGUUGUCCCUGGAACAUGUCUCCUCAAAUCUGAUACUGUUUCAGCCUCAAGACCUUCCCAGGAAGUUGUUUCCCAACGCCUCACAGAGUUUUCCCUAACCUGACACUACUCAUUUGUGAGGCCUGGCCACCUGCACCUAGAACCUAGGUACCUCCAGCAGGCUACUCAGCACUUACCCAGAGCCCUGCGCAUAACUUACGGGUUUGGCUUAUUAAGUUUUGGUUUUCUUUGUUGUUUGUUUUACAGUUUUCCAAGAAGGAAGAGUAUCAUUUUAAAUGGCUGAAGUUUUGAUAAACUGAGUGUAUAUAAUGUGUAUUAUCCAGGUUGUGUUUCUAACCUCUGGUUUCAUAUAUUCAAAUUUGUCACUUCCCUGAGCCAUUGAAGGUGAUGGAAAACCAAAGAGAAAAUCGAAAACCUGAUGCCAGACAGACUGUAAGAACCCCGUGUUUGUGAAUGGCCUACUUGGUCCUAGCUGUUUUCCAAAACCAAAUAUGACUUCGAGCUCAGGCUCAGGGCCCUGUUUUCCAUUAGCUCUGCUCGCUGAGAAGCGACCAUUCUCACUUGCACAGGGCUGUGCUUUUGCUGCUAUCUAUUCCCAUGGAUAGGGCCGGGGAUUUAGCUCAGUGGUUUCGCAGCCUGCUGCGCAAGUGCAAAGACCCGAGUUCGAUCCCCGGUACCAAACAAAACAAAACGAAAAGAUUCCCAUGGGGAGCUGGGCCCACGCCUGUGAUCCCAGCACGUGGGAGGAUUGUCAAGAAUUUGAGGCCAGCCUGGGCUACACAGUGAGUUCAAAUCCAGUCUGAACUACACAGACCUUGCUUCAAAAAAAAU